UAUUAUGCAGCAGUGAUAUUUCAGGUUGGAUACUAGGAAACAUUUCUUCUUUGAAAGGGUGGUCAAGUGCUGGAACAGGCUGCCCAGGGAAGUGAUUGAGUCACUGUCCCUGGUGGUGUUCAAAAAACCUGUAGAUAUAAUACUAAGGGAUAUGGGUUAGUGGGCAAAUAUUGGCAGAAGGUUGAACUGGACAAUCUUGGAGGCCUUUUUCAAUCUUGGUGAUUCUAUGAUUCUAUGUUUUUAUUGUAGGCAGAGCAACACAGCUGCAGGAUAGUUUCAAGGAGGAACAUGAAGCAAAAUUCAGCCUCUGCUGAAGAACAGGAAAAGGAUUUUGCAGUUUGGAAAGAGUAACAAUGAAAUCAGGAUUCUGCCCGUCAGUGAAACUGAACGCAUCCAGUAAUGGGAAAUGCAUGGCUCCCUUUUCCUGGGCACUGGGCCAGCCCAGCAUAGUUUGCUUGUCCAGAUGUGGAAACCGCUACUAGAAGCGCCAGGUUCUGAUGUCACAGUCUGAUACUCAUUACAAGCUGAAAUUCAUCACCUUCCAACCCAAUUACAUACCACAGUAUGAUCUGCUGAAAGUUUUCAGCUUCAGAGCACCAUCCCAUCCCUACAGAAAUGCAUAAUCACUCGGAGCGCUCUACUCAGACAGAUGCUAUCUGAGCAAGCAGGCAAAUGAUGAAUGUCAAUGGAGAAUACAGGAAAAUAGACAAGAAUGA